AUUGAACGCUGGCGGCAGGCCUAACCCAUGCAAGUCGAGCGAGCGGCGGACGGGUGAGUAAUGUCUGGGAAACUGCCUGAUGGAGGGGGCUAACUACUGGAAACGGUAGCUAAUACCGCAUACCAUCAGAUGUGCCCAGAUGGGAUUAGCUAGUAGGUGGGGUAACGGCUCACCUAGGCGACGAUCCCUAGCUGGUCUGAGAGGAUGACCAGCCACACUGGAACUGAGACACGGGCCAGACUCCAACGGGAGGCAGCAGUGGGGAAUAUUGCACAAUGGGGGCAAGCCGGAUGCAGCCAUGCCGCGUGUAUGAAGAAGGCCUUCGGGUUGUAAAGUACUUUCAGAGGGGAGGCGUUACCCGCAGAAGAAGCACCGGCUAACUCCGUGCCAGCAGCCGCGGUAAAUC
rnacentral:rRNA from 1 species